ACGGAAUAGAUACCCAGGUAGUCCACGCCGUAAACGAUGGGUGCUAGGUGCUGCGGGCUUUGACUCUCGCGGUGCCGUAGCCAACGCAUUAAGCACCCCGCCUGGGAAGUACGGCCGCAAGGCUAAAAACUCAAAGGAAUUGACGGGGGCCCGCACAAGCGGUGGAGCAUGUGGUUUAAUUCGACGCAACGCGAAGAACCUUACCUGGGCUAGAAAAGGCAGAAACUGGGUAGAAAUGUCUGGGUGCCCUUCGGGGAAGUCUGUCGUUAGGUGCUGCAUGGCUGUCGUCAGCUCGUGUCGUGGGAUGUUGGGUUAAGUCCCGCAACGAGCGCAACCCCUGUCCUUAGUUACCAUCGGUUAGGCCGGGAACUCUAAGGAGACCGCCGAUACAUAAAUCGGAGGAAGGUGGGGAUGACGUCAAGUCCUCAUGGCCCUUAUGUCCAGGGCUACACACGUGCUACAAUGGUCGGUACAAACCGUCGCAAGCCCGCGAGGGGAGCCAAUCGGAAAAAACCGACCUCAGUACAGAUAAGAGUCUGCAACUCGACUCUUUGAAG
rnacentral:rRNA from 1 species